rnacentral:rRNA from 2 species
CUGAACGCCUCUAAGUCAGAAUCCGUGCUAGAAACGAUGAUGUUGGUGUCGCACAUUAGACUUGUGUUUAAAUAGAGCUUUGCUCGUGAACCAAAUAUGGUGGGCUGGGUUGUCUUUGCGGAAACGCUUGGGCGACUUGUCUACGAAUUGUAAUCAUAAUAUGGGCGGCGGUGAAUCCUUUGCAGACGACUUGAAUGGGAACGGGGUACUGUAAGUGGUAGAGUAGCCUUGUUGCUACGAUCCACUGAGGUUAAGCCCUUGUUCUAAAGAUUUGUUCA